UGGGAGCUUGCUCCCUGAGAUUAGCGGCGGACGGGUGAGUAACACGUGGGCAACCUGCCUAUAAGACUGGGAUAACUUCGGGAAACCGGAGCUAAUACCGGAUACGUUCUUUUCUCGCAUGAGAGAAGAUGGAAAGACGGUUUACGCUGUCACUUAUAGAUGGGCCCGCGGCGCAUUAGCUAGUUGGUGAGGUAAUGGCUCACCAAGGCGACGAUGCGUAGCCGACCUGAGAGGGUGAUCGGCCACACUGGGACUGAGACACGGCCCAGACUCCUACGGGAGGCAGCAGUAGGGAAUCUUCCGCAAUGGACGAAAGUCUGACGGAGCAACGCCGCGUGAACGAAGAAGGCCUUCGGGUCGUAAAGUUCUGUUGUUAGGGAAGAACAAGUACCAGAGUAACUGCUGGUACCUUGACGGUACCUAACCAGAAAGCCACGGCUAACUACGUGCCAGCAGCCGCGGUAAUACGUAGGUGGCAAGCGUUGUCCGGAAUUAUUGGGCGUAAAGCGCGCGCAGGUGGUUCCUUAAGUCUGAUGUGAAAGCCCACGGCUCAACCGUGGAGGGUCAUUGGAAACUGGGGAACUUGAGUGCAGAAGAGGAAAGUGGAAUUCCAAGUGUAGCGGUGAAAUGCGUAGAGAUUUGGAGGAACACCAGUGGCGAAGGCGACUUUCUGGUCUGUAACUGACACUGAGGCGCGAA
rnacentral:rRNA from 1 species